rnacentral:rRNA from 1 species
AACGCGAAGAACCUUACCUGGGCUUGAACUACUCGUGGUAGUUCGAUGGAAACAUUGAGCGACCCGCAAGGGAGCGAGCAGAGGUGCUGCAUGGUUGUCGUCAGCUCGUGUCGUGAGAUGUUGGGUUAAGUCCCGCAACGAGCGCAACCCCUACUCGAUGUUGCUAAUCCCGCAAGGGAUGCACUCUUCGAGAACUGCCUUCGAUAAGAAGGAGGAAGGUGGGGACGACGUCAAAUCCUCAUGGCCCUUAUGUCCAGGGCUACACACGUGCUACAAUGGCCGGUACAACGGGAAGCAAUACCGUAAGGUGGAGCCAAACCCUGAAAGCCGGCCCCAGUUCAGAUUGUGGGCUGCAACUCGCCCACAUGAAGGCGGAAUCGCUAGUAAUCGCGAAUCAGCAGGUCGCGGUGAAUACGUUCCCGGGCCUUGUA